GACGAACGCUGGCGGCGUGCUAAACACAUGCAAGUCGAACGGAAAGGCCUGCUUUCCCUUGUGGAUUGCGGGUACUCGAGUGGCGAACGGGUGAGUAACACGUGAGUGAUCUGCCCCCAACUUGGGUAUAAGCCUGGGAAACUGGGUCUAAUUCCCGAUAGGACUGCAGGGUGGUGCCUGUGGUGGAAAACGAUUUUCUAGUGGUUGGGGAUGAGCUCGCGGCCUAUCAGCUUGUUGGUGGGGUAAUGGCCUACCAAGGCGGCGACGGGUAGCCGGCCUGAGAGGGUGGACGGCCACAUUGGGACUGAGAUACGGCCCAGACUCCUACGGGAGGCAGCAGUGGGGAAUAUUGCACAAUGGGCGGAAGCCUGAUGCAGCGACGCCGCGUGGGGGAUGACGGCCUUCGGGUUGUAAACUCCUUUCGACCGCGAGGAAGCCACCUGGUUGGAAGGGUGGUGACGGUAGUGGUAGAAGAAGCACCGGCUAACUACGUG
rnacentral:rRNA from 1 species